GUUACUUCGGUACAUCGGUGACAGGUGGUGCAUGGUUGUCGUCAGCUCGUGUCGUGAGAUGUUGGGUUAAGUCCCGCAACGAGCGCAACCCCUAUUGUUAGUUGCCGUCAUUCAGUUGGGCACUCUAGCGAGACUGCCGGUAAUAAACCGGAGGAAGGUGGGGAUGACGUCAAAUCAUCAUGCCCCUUAUGACCUGGGCUACACACGUGCUACAAUGGUUGGUACAACGAGUUGCGAGUCGGUGACGGCGAGCUAAUCUCUUAAAGCCAAUCUCAGUUCGGAUUGUAGGCUGCAACUCGCCUACAUGAAGUCGGAAUCGCUAGUAAUCGUGGAUCAGCAUGUCACGGUGAAUACGUUCCCGGGUCUU
rnacentral:rRNA from 1 species